UUUUUUAAGUGAGGAGCAUUUUUCAGAAUUGCUAAUUUCACAUUCCAAUGUAAAUAAUUUUCAUCAAGGGCAUUUGACAAGUAAGUUAGCAACAUCUCAUUACAAUUCUUAUUUCCAGGUCUGCUGGAAUUAAACAUGGCAUAGACGCUAUUGCGCUGAAGCGCAAUUUUUUCCUCAAGAUUCAAUUCAUCAUCUUUAUCAAACCAUUCCUUCUGCAAAAAUGUACCACAUUCAUUUAAUGAUAGUUCAUACAAAUCAAGCUCUCUAUAAUUUUCAUCAGAUAACAGUUCACCAACACUUUCCAUUGCAUGGCUUUUGUAAACAAUAUUGCGUCUCUUAAAUUCUCUAACAAUCACUUGGUGAACUUCUUCCAUUUUUUGCGAUUUAAUGAACUCAGGAUAUUUAAUUAAAAAUUUAACAUAAGCCUCAAGCAGUAAUUCCUUCCCAGGCCAGCUUUUAUCUUUCAUUGUUUCAUUUAAAAGCACGUAGAUAUCAUUUUGUCGAUAAGUGAGUCGCGAAGUAU